CUCGCCGCGACUUACGGGCCUGGAAUCGCUGGCUGGGCCCGGGGGCUGCGGGUUCCAACCCGCUAGCCUGUGACAACCUCCUCAGACAACAGGUACCUGUCAGUGUGACACCUCCAGGGCAGGACUUCACACCCACACGCCCUCGCUCUGACUGGAACACACUUGUAUUCCCCCUUACUGUAAGGGUCUGAUUCGUGUACUGAUUUCAUCGUUUACUAGGAUGUCAGAUCCCUCAACAAGUUGUUCCCAGCUUAAUCAGUCCUCUCUGGGGCAAAUAGCAGGCAGACUAAGAGGCCUUGUGCAAAAGUUUUCUCCCACCUGGCCUGUUCAGCAGUCCCACCCAUCUCAAAGAGCCUGCAGGUUGGACAAGGUUCUUCCCAUUAAGCAGGUGGAAACACUGAGUCUCCUCUACUGUACAGAGAUCCCUUAACAGUCGAUGCUAAAAAUUUAUUCUCAUCCCAGAGAGAUCUGUCAUCUCUCAGCUAUCCAGCAAGCCUACAAGGGAGAGGAAAGUGGGGUCAGGUGAAGUGUAGGUAUUGACAGCCCUUAAAAGGUCCUUGAAAUUACCAGACAGACAUAGGACACUGCAAACAUGGGAAACAACAGCCUGGACUCUGAGGCACCAUGAGAGGCUCGGGAUUGUUAACUAUUGGAACAGAAAUGGGGUGGGGAGGGCAAUUGAGCAAAGUGGAGAGUUCAGAGAAGGCAGCUGGCGCUGGGAGGCAGGACAGGCCCAUAGGAGUUCCCCAAUGGGAUCAGGUGUCCUUGUUGGUCAGCCUACUCGUGUCUCCCAGGGGAGUAAGGAUAUUGAGUCCUAAACACAGAGAGAUGCUGGUUUGGGAGUUGAGAAACUACCAAGCUUCUGCUUCCUAUAUGUGCCAUGUUACAUACACCUCUGGAAGGAGUGUGGUCAAAGAGAACUGAGCCUGAACUAGGGCCACAGCCCACAGCUGCAGGCCACAUAUGGACAGGAUAUGACUUCCAAGUACAUACUUCAGCCACCACCAGUUUAACCAGGGAAAAACAGCAUAGACAGCAAAUUCUUGGCAAUCUGAGUUUCCACCCCGGACAGUGUGAAGUCCUUGAAAGAUGGACUGCUGCAGCUUGAGCAGAUCAAGCCCCCUGGAAGGCAGUUUAGAAGGUCCAGUCCAUCAGCAUACAGUGCUAUGAACAUGAUCUGUAUUCUAUUUUAUUUUAUUUUUGAUUUUUUUGACACAGGGUUUCUCUGUGUAGCUUUGUAGACCAGGCUGGCCUCAAAUUCACGGAGAUGUGCCUGCUUCUGCCUCCUGAUCACUGAGAUUAAAGGUGUGUGCUACCACUGCCUGUAUGAUCUGUAUUCCAGACACUGUGUGGUUGGAGAAGAGUUGAAAAAGACAGGAGUUCAUGUUCAAGCUACGAACUGAGGAUGUAGCUCAGUUGGUAGCGUGCUUGCCUAGCAUGCAGGGUGCCCUGGGUUCCAUCCCCAGCACUUCAUAGAUAGUGCAUGCCUAUAAUUCCACAGCACUCAGGAGGCAGGGGCGGUAGGAGCAAGGUGUUCAAAGAACUCAAGUGGACAUGAGCCCCCACCCCUUGUUCUAGCCAAAGUGAGCCAGGAGGGAGGUAAAGGGCCAUUGCUAUGUCUCUCAGGGUUGAAGGAGCAAGAGAGGGAGGGGCUCCAGGGAGCAGCCUCUGAGCUGAACAGCUAGGGUGGGUUUGGGAAAGGAAGAUGCACUUUCCUAGAACAGGGGACAAUCCACCCGGACCAUGUGGAAGUGGUUCUGGAAAAGCUGUGUGAAGCAUGGCAAAGGAAGCAGGAAGGAAAGACUGAGUCAGAAGAGCCUGAAGGAUGUCAGGCACUGAGUCCAGCCUUCAGGAGCAGCUGGCUCCAGCCUGGGCUGAACCUAAUCCUGGGGGCUGGCUGGAGAAAGAUGGCUUCUCAUGGGAGAAGAGAUGGCAGGGAGCCAGUCAGGUCAAGGGCAUGCAUGUCCAAAGCAAGCUUUGAGGGCUAGCCUGUGAGUUAGGUAACCCCAUGUCCCUGACAGCAUUUCCUACUUCUGAGGCCUCAAAACGGUUUCACAAGCUGGGCCUUCCAGCUUGCUGGAUGUCCUGUGAGGAUCUGUGUGUUGGGGAGGCCCAGCCAUAGUGUAUGUAGGUCUAGGGCUGGAGGACCUUUAUUCUUCUAUUCCUCCCUCCCCUCAUGACCACUCCCCAGGCCCCUUCCUGAGGCCUAGUGACUCCAUUUCUGGCUUGAGACUUCCUAUCUGCUCCAUCUUAGCAAAGCAGAGGCAGAACUCAUCGCUCCUCAUCUUUCUGUGAGCUCAAACCCAGACUCUCAUCCAUGAGCCCUCCUCUCAACUCAUUUUCUCCUUCAUCGGUGCUGUCUGAUGCAUGGCCUCCUUAGCUUGCUCCACUGUGUAGCCCUGGCUGGCCUGGAAUGUGCUCUGUAGACCAGGCUGGCCUGGGCCUCCAGAAUUCUGGGAUCAAAGGCAUGAGCUGUAAAGCCUAGCCCCAGGCUGCUGAUUUUGUUACAGGAAUGUACCUAUAGGCCAGUCUUUCUGGGCUCUGCCACAUCUAAACUAUGUGGCCAUGGUCAUCAUCCUCUCAACCUGUCUAUGCUAUUAUCUCUGCAAUGUGGGCAAUAAUUGUGUGUGCUUCUAAGAGCUUUGUGGCAAUUAAAUAUGUAAAGCCCUUCCUGUGGUAUCUGUCAGUUGAUAAGCACUGUAUAAAUGUUAGCUAAAUGAUGGCAAUCCUUGUUUGUUUGUUUGUUUGUUUUUAUCUGUGCAGCCCUGGCUGUCCUGGAACUCUAACUGUAGACCAGGCUGACCUUGAACUCACAGAAAUCUACCUGCCUCUGCCUCCUGAGUGUUGGGAUUAAAGGCAUGUGCCACACUGCCCAACUAUGAUAGUGAUCCAGUAAGUCUCAAGGUUAACCUUUAUUUUCUCUUGGGCUUUUUCUAAACUCCUGACACAGCCCAGGCCUUCUGCUGUACACUUUCCAUCCCCUUCAUCACUACCCUUCUGGUGCCUGUCAAUGCACUCCACUCUAGUCCAAGGUCGUUGGAGGUCUUUGUCUGGAACCCUGCUGAGCUCCAGUGCCCUGCAUAGUACUUGUCUCAUGGCUGGUACUGUGUCUACCAACAAAAUGCCCACCAGCUGGCACUCCAUCCCUUCGUUCAUUUAGACAUCUAAUGGUGCUCCCUUUAGAGUCUUCUUCACACAAUAACUGGCUGGGGAGGAAGGAUAAGCAAGAAAGGUAAGGCCUUUGUGUAAUAUACAGUAUCAGCCACUGAAGAGAAAGGCAUGGAAGUAUGUAGGAAGAUACAAUACAAUGUCCAUGUGUUGUGGUAAUCCGUGAGCGAGGGUGGGUGGACCUUGAAAUGGUGUAAAUGAAACAAAACUCACAUAAACGAUGACCCUAGCCUUUUCAGCCAGCUUCACCAGUUCCUAAACUGGGUUUCUUUAAAGCAGGAAGAAUGGGUCCUGUCCAGAGUAAACACUGAGCAUCCUUCUGUCUGCAAACCUGUUCAGCCUUCAAAACCUAAUGUCCACAGCACCUCAUCCAGGAAACCUCGAGCUGCCUAGAGGAGUGUCACUGGGAAGCCCUGGUUGUCCUGGAACUUGCUCUGUGGAUCAGGUUGGCUUCAAACUCAGAGACUGCCUGCUUCUGCUCCGGAGUGCUGGGAUUAAAGGCAGUUGCCACCACAGCCUGACAAUUUUUUUAAGAAAAAGAAACAGAAACUAAGGUCCAGGGAGAGUAGGAAUCUGUCAGAGCACCAUAAAGUGGAAUCUAGACCAGAGGAGGACCCUGGUUGCCAGAUCUUACCUGGUCUGUGUGAAUGGGACACUGGGUGGGGGAGGGGGGUGUCACCUGCCCAACAUAGAUUCCCCAGGAUCAAGUCUAGACUCUAUUCCUGGAUCCUUGGAGAGGUACCAUAUGGGAAGAGAAGCACUGUGGACCCUGAUGGGAACCAGCAAUAUGGCCAGCCCUUUGUUUUACCCUGCCUGCCUGCUUCAAGGUGAGCAUUCUUAUCUCUAUGUGUCCACCUGUUGGGGUUGGAUGUGAGAUGGAGUAAGAGCCGGAGACCAGAGAGGAGAAAGUGAGGGACAUGACAGGGAUGUCCACACAAAGCACUUAAGACAUGCAGUCACACUCAGGGUACCCAAGAUCAACCCUUUCCCUGCAAGGUGCCCUCCAGCUAGUGCUUAGUUUAGAGGACCAGAAUCCAGGGUCAGCCCUCCCUUACAGUCAUUUGCCUUAGUUCCAGUUGUUAAUUGAACAGCAGUGAUGGUUUCCUUCUUACAUUACUAUAAAGGUUAAGUGAGAUAUUAGGAAACUGCUUAGCAUCUUGUCUAGCAUAGUCAGCCUUGUCCCUGAUAUUUUUGCCCAAUAUCACCUGUCUUCAAAUGCCUUCCUGGAGCUGGCAGCCGGUAGACACUAGAGAUUCCAAAGGGCCAGCUGGUUCCCUGGGUGAAAAAAUGAGGUAAUCAAUGAAAAGGCCUGAAGGAUCCCAACCCCUUCCUGGCAUCCCAGGACCAGUUCUUCUGAGGAAAGAAAGGCAGAGAGAGUAAUCAGGAGCAGAAGGUCCCAGUGGGAGGGCUGAAGCCUACCAUCGGAGACAUGUGUUGAGGGAUGCCCUGCAGUCUGGAGACCAGUGACUUCUGUGGGAAGAACAGGUGGGACUCUGUCCUUCCUGGAGAGGAGGCCUACUGGGCCAAUGAGUGACAAGCAUGAAGUAUCAGAGCCACAGUCUGAUGUAAAGAUUUGGAAACCUACCUCUAAAAUUCUGUCAUCUUAAGUUCUGACGGACAUUGCUUCUUGGUCCUUUGGCUGUGGUCACAUGAAAAGUUCUGAAGUGCCAUGUCUUUAUGAGUCUUGGGUUCUAAUAUGGGAUCCUCAGGUUCUAAAAUUGCUCUGUCAUUGGAAACAUAGCAAAACCUAGAAUACACAUCUGUGAUUAAGAGGGCUAACCUAGCAGUUGUGAGGCCCUGGAUUCAAUGCUCACGCAAGGGUGGUGGUGGGAGGGGCAGAGAAGGAAGGGAAGGGAAGGGAAGGGAAAGGAAG
ensembl:lncRNA